GACGAACGCUGGCGGCGUGCUUAACACAUGCAAGUCGAACGGAAAGGCCCUGCUUGCAGGGUACUCGAGUGGCGAACGGGUGAGUAACACGUGGGUGAUCUGCCCUGCACUUCGGGAUAAGCCUGGGAAACUGGGUCUAAUACCGGAUAGGAGCCAUUUUUAGUGUGAUGGUUGGAAAGUUUUUUCGGUGUAGGAUGAGCUCGCGGCCUAUCAGCUUGUUGGUGGGGUAAUGGCCUACCAAGGCGGCGACGGGUAGCCGGCCUGAGAGGGUGGACGGCCACAUUGGGACUGAGAUACGGCCCAGACUCCUACGGGAGGCAGCAGGGGGGAAUAUUGCACAAGGGGCGCAAGCCUGAUGCAGCGACGCCGCGGGGGGGAUGACGGCCUUCGGGUUGUAAACUCCUUUCGCUAGGGACGAAGCUUUUUGUGACGGUACCUAGAUAAGAAGCACCGGCUAACUACGUG
rnacentral:rRNA from 1 species